rnacentral:tRNA from 1 species
GCCGCUGUAGCUCAACGUCCAGAGCACACGUCUUUUAAGCGAGGAGAUAGGGGUUCGAGUCCUCUUGGCGGCA